UCAAGAUGAACUAUGGUAGAAACAAGUAUGAUCAAGGAGGCUAUUAUCCACCAGCUGGAUCCUAUUCCUAUCCACCUCAAGGAUGCUAUCCCCCACAAUCUACAUAUCCACCUCAAGGAGGUUAUUAUCCACAACAAUAUCCACCAAAUGCAGGAGGAGGGUAUCCACCUUCUGGUUAUCCUCAUCAUCAACCAUCUUAUCAUGCACCACAUGGUUAUCCUUCAGGUACACUUGAUCAUCCUAAUUUGUUAUCAGUAAUAAACAUAGCGAUUCGAGUACUCCUUGUACUUGCUUCGGCUUCUUCCUUUAUUUAUAUAUUCGAUUUCCAUUUUUAAAAAAAGUAAUAAAUAUAUUAGCAUGCAUAUAAACAAUCUUUUAUGAUCUACCUGAUGUUGGUUUAUAUUUUUCACAAAUGGAAGUGGUUUGUUCAGAAUUUGAACAAACCUCUACUUUUUGCGAUCCUUGUUCACAACAUUGAUAAAAAUGAAAUUAUAGCUAAACCACUGGAUCAAUGUAUUUGUGAAUGGUUUAUUUCUCCUUAUGUUUCUUGCAUAGGUUAUAUACUUGACUCAUACAAUUAGUAUUGCAUCUUUGUUUUACAAACUAGACUAUUCUUGCACCAUAGAAUGAUUCUAAGGGAGGGGUAUGUU
rnacentral:lncRNA from 1 species